rnacentral:sRNA from 1 species
GUCUGCACUUGUCGGGGAAGGGUGAGAACCCUCGAUUAAGGUUCGACUCGAGCGAAAGCGAGAGAACGUUGCCAACGGCAACGGCCCGUAG